CGAAGUUCAGAGAUCUGAACAGUGAAAGAGAAAGAUACGAAUGAGUAUUAAGAAUUUUAAUUUUGGCUUAUUGAGAAACUGAGAAAGCAAGAUUGAUGGGAGACCUAAUAAAGAAAUGUGUUACCAGAGAGAGAGAGAGAGAGAGAGAGA